GUUCCUGGUUGUUAACAAUAUUGUUCAGCAUUGUUCAGCUCAAUGCUGAACAAUAUUGUUAACAACCAGGAACAA
rnacentral:miRNA from 1 species